CCUACGGGAGGCAGCAGUGGGGAAUAUUGGGCAAUGGGCGCAAGCCUGCCCCAGCAACGCCGCGUGAAGGAAGAAGGCUUUCGGGUUGUAAACUUCUUUUCUCAGGGACGAAGAAAGUUACGGUACCUGAGGAAUAAGCCACGGCUAACUCCGAGCCAGCAGCCGCGGUAAUACGUAGGUGGCAAGCGUUAUCGGGGUUUAUUGGGGGUAAAGGGCGGGUAGGCGGGAGGGCAAGUCAGGUGUGAAAACUCAGGGCUCAACCCUGGGACUGCCUUUGAAACUGUGGUACUUGAGUGUUGGAGAGGAAAUCGGAAUUCCGGGUGUAGCGGUGAAAUGCGUAGAUAUACGGAGGAACACCAGUGGCGAAGGCGGCUUGCUGGACAGUAACUGACGCUGAGGCGCGAAAGCGUGGGGAGCAAACAGGAUUAGAUACCCUGGUAGUC
rnacentral:rRNA from 1 species